rnacentral:rRNA from 1 species
CCUACGGGAGGCAGCAGUGGGGAAUAUUGGACAAUGGGCGCAAGCCUGAUCCAGCCAUGCCGCGUGAGUGAUGAAGGCCUUAGGGUUGUAAAGCUCUUUUGCCAGGGAAGAUAAUGACUGUACCUGGAGAAUAAGCCCCGGCUAACUUCGUGCCAGCAGCCGCGGUAAUACGAAGGGGGCUAGCGUUGUUCGGAAUCACUGGGCGUAAAGCGCACGUAGGCGGACUUUUAAGUCAGGGGUGAAAGCCUGAGGCUCAACCUCAGAACUGCCCUUGAUACUGGGAGUCUUGAGUAUGGUAGAGGUUGGUGGAACAGCAAGUGUAGAGGUGAAAUUCGUAGAUAUUUGCUAGAACACCAGUGGCGAAGGCGGCCAACUGGACCAUAACUGACGCUGAGGUGCGAAAGCGUGGGGAGCAAACAGGAUUAGAUACCCUGGUAGUCCACGCCGUAAACGAUGGAUGCUAGCCGUUAGCCAGCUUGCUGGGUAGUGGCGCAGGUAACCCUUUAAGCAUCCCGCCUGGGGANACGGUCGCAAGAUUAAAACUCAAANAGAUAGAGCGNGAGAGNGCGAGACGACACGAGGAGAG